CCCUGCAGGUGUUCAAGGCCAGGAUGGAUGAGGCCCUGGGCAACCUGAUGUUGUGGGUGGCAUCCCUGCCAAUUUGAGUGGGGCUGGAAGUAUAUGAUCUUUGAGGUCGCUUUCAACCUAAGCCUUUCUAUGAUUCUAUAUUUCUAAGAAGGGGAAGAAUUCAGAUGGAAAGAAUUUUUAUCUCAUCCUCUGCCUGCUGUUUCCAUGCCACCUCCUGUCAGAGACUGAUGCUUUCUGUCCAGGUUAUUUUAGAUAUUCUACAUAUGGAGGAUUUAUAAUUUAAUACCAAAUGUAACUAUCAGAAGAUAUUUGAAGUUAUGGGAAAUUUUGGUUUAGAAGAAUGAUCCAGGAAUGCACUGAAAUAACAAGAGCAUAAUAUAGUUAUUGCAAUAUACAGUGGAGCCACAAAACAAAUGUGAUUCCCAUCAGGAGUGUCCAUAUUCUCCCCAUGCUGAUGCUGGGCACCCCCAGUUGCUGGAAAUGAAUAUGUGGGUUGAAGGCAGCUCAAACUCAUAGCUUUUUUCUAAGUUUAUUGUGCUGGUUGUUCACUUUUUAUACUCUGUGUUGGGCUGAGUCAUGUAUACCUCAUGCUUCUAUGGCUCCCCUGGGAAGACAUUCACACUUGAUUAACUCAGGAAAGACCAUUUACAUUACCAGUUGACCUACUCACCUGUUGUAAUAUAUCUAGAAAAAAAGCCCAGCUUUGGUCUGAGAUCAGUUCAGCUUUCUUUGCAACAGCUAUGGUCACUCCUUACAUGUUCCCUCAACCCCUUAAGAACAUUGCCAGUGCCCCUCUCCUUAGAGACCUCUUCCACUGAAGGGUUUGUUCAUUGUUCACAUGCCCAAGACCUGCAGAACACAUCUGAGGAGGCAGAGCCUUGAGUGAGCUGUGGCACACUUCUCAGAGGACAUCUGGGGCAGUGGACAAAGUGCAGUGGUGUUGGCAGGGAGCUGGCUAUGGGGCAUAGCCUAAAGGUUUAGACAAAAGAAGACAACUUGCUGCCUUUGAUGCUAAGCUUCACCACGUCUCCAACUUUACGCAGUAGCAAAUGGGAGGGUAAAAUGUUCCUUUUUUCAGCCAGGGAAGAACCAGCUCAAAUCACCUUGUUUUAUUCCAAACAUGUACAGCCGUGGUUGUGAUGGAGCAGCUGCUGCACUGGAAGUUCACAGGAAAGUCUACCUGGUGGUAAUUUAUUCAUACGCUCAGGUCUUCAGUUGUCAGAGUCCUGAAGGUGAAGAUCAAAACCGCUUAAUGUUGCCAUGAUUAUAUAAUUAUUAUUCCAGGAUAUUAUGAGUGCCAGAAGAUGCAAAAGAAUUAAGAAUCAAUUAAUUAUUAAUACAUUGUAAUAAUUGUGCAAGAUUGUGGAAUACUGAAUGUACAGAAUAAGAAUUGGCAAGGAAUAAUGAUGGAGAAGAAAUUGUUAAAAAAUAAAAUGCUUUUUGUUGUU